rnacentral:rRNA from 1 species
UACAGAGGCCCCAAGCGUUACUGAGAAUCACUGGGUUUAAAGGGUGCGUAGGUGGUCCGUUAAGUCUGUUGUGAAAGCCCUUGGCUCAACCAAGGAAUUGCUUCGGAUACUGGCGGACUUGAGGCUAGUAGAGGUCACUGGAACUGACGGUGGAGCGGUGAAAUGCGUAGAUAUCGUCAGGAACGCCGGUGGUGAAGACGGGUGACUGGGCUAGUUCUGACACUGAGGCACGAAAGCGUGGGGAGCAAACGGG